rnacentral:rRNA from 1 species
UCUGAAUCUGCGAACGGCUCCGCAAACCAGUUGUAAACUAUAGCAAGCAAGCUUAGGGGGAUGGCCUUAACGGGCUGACUCCUUAAGCUACAUGGGUAACCCUGGUAAUUCUGAGGCUAAUACAUGAUCGUAAACCUUGGGGCCUGGCUGCGGUUGGGAUCCUAGGGGGCGUGUGAUUGAGGCCUGAGUUAAUAUGCCAGGAAGGGGUGCACGUCCAGACCGCUAUCAAAAGGGAUCGGUUCCUUCCCCCUCUCGGGGGGGCAGGGACUGGCCCCGGCGGCUCUUGCUGUGUGCUUCUGACCUAUCAACUAGAUGGCAGCAUAAAGGACAUGCUUUGGU